GACGAACGCUGGCGGCGUGCUUAACACAUGCAAGUCGAACGGAAAGGCCCUGCUUUUGUGGGGUGCUCGAGUGGCGAACGGGUGAGUAACACGUGAGUAACCUGCCCUUGACUUUGGGAUAACUUCAGGAAACUGGGGCUAAUACCGGAUAGGAGCUCCUGCUGCAUGGUGGGGGUUGGAAAGUUUCGGCGGUUGAGGAUGGACUCGCGGCUUAUCAGCUUGUUGGUGGGGUAGUGGCUUACCAAGGCUUUGACGGGUAGCCGGCCUGAGAGGGUGACCGGCCACAUUGGGACUGAGAUACGGCCCAGACUCCUACGGGAGGCAGCAGUGGGGAAUAUUGCACAAUGGGCGGAAGCCUGAUGCAGCAACGCCGCGUGCGGGAUGACGGCCUUCGGGUUGUAAACCGCUUUCGCCUGUGACGAAGCGUGAGUGACAGUAAUGGGUAAAGAAGCACCGGCUAACUACGUG
rnacentral:rRNA from 1 species